UACCUUGCCCUAGGCAUAGGACCGCCCCUGUCUUCCAGCAUCACCUACUUCAACCCAUUAAACCGGGGUUUGGUGCAACUAAAACCCUCACUCUAAACGGGGUUUGGUGCAACUACCUCCAAAUUGAAAACCCUUGCCCUUCUCUCUUUUCCUUCUUCAACAUUUCCAUCUCAUUUUGUUCGAAUCUCAAUAAUGGCGGUGCAUCAUAAGCUCGCUUUGAUUCUCGAGAACCCUCUAAACGACGCCGAAUAUCUCCUCGUGAAACAGACGCGGCCUCCGAAAUUCAACGACGAGGAGUACGAUUCGUACGUGGAUUCUGACCUCUGGGACUUACCCUCCACGCAAUUGAACCUUCUAGAAGGCAUAUCAGAGCCCUCAAUUGCAUUGGGAGGCGCAGAAUCAUGGUCAGGGAAGAUCGAGCUGAAAAAAUUCGAUGUGGAUUCGGCUCUCAAUCGGGUUCUGGAACAAGUAGGGUUUAAGGCAGCUGAUGUUGGAGAUUGGAGCUUGUUGAAGUAUGUGGAGGAAGCUCAAUUUGGACCUGUGCCGCCCAUUAAUUCGGUUUUUGUUAGGGGGAAAUUGGUAGCUUCGCAUCCAAAUUUACCAGAGUCGUGUAAACGGGUGUCUGUCCCGAGCUGUUUAAACUGGCUUCUUGAAGUGAAACCAGGCAAUGAUCGUGUGGGGCCUUUGAUAGUUGCUGGUCUUCUAAACGAGUUUGUGCAAUCGAGAGAGUUGAAAAUCCCAUCCACCUUAUCUUACCAGGAGUACCCUCCUGGUGUUGUGCUUGUACCGAUGGGAAGCAGGACAGGAAAACCUUUUUAUACGACAAACCUGGUUGUUUUUGCACCUCAAAAUGCUUCUAGUGACUAUGAGAAGAAUGGAUUUAUCGCUUCUGGAGAUGCAUUGAUAGUGGAUCCUGGGUGCCGAUCUGAAUUUCAUGAAGAGCUCGCACAAAUUGUAGCUUCUUUGCCGAGAAAGUUAGUUGUAUUUGUUACUCAUCAUCAUCACGAUCAUGUGGAUGGUCUUUCGGUUAUUCAACGUUGCAACCCUGAUGCUACUUUAUUAGCACAUGAAAAUACCAUGCGACGCAUUGGAAAAGAUGACUGGUCUCUUGGUUUUACUGCAAUUUCUGGAACUGAAGAGAUUUGCAUUGGUGGUCAGCGACUGAUUGCCCUUUUUUCUCCGGGACAUACAGAUGGUCAUAUGGGACUGCUUCAUGCCAGUACUCACUCAUUGAUUGUCGGUGAUCAUUGUGUGGGUCAAGGUAGUGCUGUACUGGAUGUUACUUCCGGGGGAAAUAUGACUGAUUACUUUCAAUCAACUUACAAAUUUAUGGAGCUUGCUCCACAUGCUUUGGUUCCCAUGCAUGGAAGAGUUAACCUAUGGCCAAAACACAUGCUUUGUGGAUAUCUCAAGAACCGCAGAGCAAGAGAAAGUUCCAUCUUGAAAGCGAUAGAAAAUGGAGCAGAAACAUUGUUUGACAUAGUUGCAAAUGUAUAUUCGGAGGUUGAUCCUAGCAUUUGGAUUUUUGCAGCAUCAAAUGUGAGGCUUCAUGUGGAUCAUUUAGCCCAGCAAGAUAAGUUACCAAAGGUGUGCAGGGAUUCUAUUUAGAAACUUUCUAUCACAGUAUUGAUGAACUCUCUGAUAAGGUGGGUAAAUUAUGAGCCCAAGUGAGGAAGCUGCUCUCUCUUUGACCCAUUCACAAACUACCUUUAGGAAUUUUUGAUUCAGAAGUUCCAAAAAACUUGUGGGCUGCGUUUCUUCUCUCAAUGGAUUUGGGCGUACUUUAGUUGUGGUGUCCGGUUAUAUUGUACGAAGCCUAGGAUAUCUCAGUUUCUUGUUGCUGGGGUGUUGGCUAGCUUCGCUCUGUUGUACUCGUUUAAAAACAGGUUUAGUUCCAAGUAAGAUUUUCUUGGGGGUAAUUGCCAGGAUCAACUCCCAGGAACAGGCUGGAAUUGUGUUAAUAUAUUAUAAAAAAUAAAUGCGAACUGUCAAAAUUGCACUUGUAUUUUAUUUUA